rnacentral:lncRNA from 1 species
AUCUCUUCAAAUUUUAUACGAAAAGGCUAAAUCCCAUGCUCCAAGGCCCCCGUCCCUUGACCCGACAAGUAUUUGAUGAAGAAAUGUAAAUCAUGGUAACUCAACGGCCCGUUAGGGUAGCGGAACCGGACUUGAUUCCCACAAUGAACCAACCAUCAUUGGAGUUGAAAUUCCCACACUGCUGCUGUCAGGAUUUGAUCCUAGAACCUUGUACCAACUUACC